UCCAAUAGCGUAUAUUAAAGUUGUUGCAGUUAAAAAGCUCGUAGUUGGAUCUCAGGUCCCGGCUCGCGGUUCACUUCGCGGUGCUUACUGCCCGUCCGGACCUACCCGCCGGUUUUCCCUUGGUGCUCUUCAUUGAGUGUCUCGGGUGGCCGGAACGUUUACUUUGAAAAAAUUAGAGUGUUCAAAGCAGGCGCUUCGCCUGAAUAAUGGUGCAUGGAAUAAUGGAAUAGGACCUCGGUUCUAUUUUGUUGGUUUUCGGAACUCGAGGUAAUGAUUAAGAGGGACAGACGGGGGCAUUCGUAUUACGGUGUUAGAGGUGAAAUUCUUGGAUCGCCGUAAGACGAACUACUGCGAAAGCAUUUGCCAAGAAUGUUUUCAUUAGUCAAGAACGAAAGUCAGAGGUUCGAAGACGAUCAGAUACCGUCCUAGUUCUGACCAUAAACGAUGCCGACUGGAGAUCCGCCGGAGUUGUUUCACUGACCCGGCGGGCAUCCUCUGGGAAACCGUAAGUCUAUGGGUUCCGGGGGAAGUAUGGUUGCAAAGCUGAAACUUAAAGGAAUUGACGGAAG
rnacentral:rRNA from 1 species